rnacentral:rRNA from 1 species
GAUCCUGGCUCAGGAUGAACGCUAGCGACAGGCUUAACACAUGCAAGUCGAGGGGCAUCACGGGAGUAGCAAUACAACUGGUGGCGACCGGCGCACGGGUGAGUAACGCGUAUGCAACCUACCUAUCAGAGGGGAAUAACCCGGCGAAAGUCGGACUAAUACCGCAUAAAACAGGGGCACCGCAUGGUGAUAUUUGUUAAAGAAAUUCGCUGAUAGAUGGGCAUGCGUUCCAUUAGGUAGUUGGUGAGGUAACGGCUCACCAAGCCGACGAUGGAUAGGGAACUGAGAGGUUGGUCCCCCACACUGGUACUGAGACACGGACCAGACUCCUACGGGAGGCAGCAGUGAGGAAUAUUGGUCAAUGGGCGGGAGCCUGAACCAGCCAAGUCGCGUGAAGGAAGAAGGAUCUAUGGUUCGUAAACUUCUUUUGCAGGGGAAUAAAGUGCAGGACGUGUCCUGUUUUGUAUGUACCCUGAGAAUAAGGAUCGGCUAACUCCGUGCCAGCCGCGGC